rnacentral:tRNA from 1 species
GUAGGUAUAACUCAGUGGUAGAGUGCAUGCUUAGUUAGCAUGCAUCAGGUCCUGGGUUCAAUCUCCAGUACCUCCA